CCUACGGGUGGCUGCAGUGAGGAAUAUUGGUCAAUGGGCUUACGCCUGAACCAGCCAAGUCGCGUGAGGGAAGACUGCCCUAUGGGUUGUAAACCUCUUUUGUCAGGGAGCAACGCCGGCUACGUGUAGCCGGACUGAGAGUACCUGAAGAAAAAGCAUCGGCUAACUCCGUGCCAGCAGCCGCGGUAAUACGGAGGAUGCGAGCGUUAUCCGGAUUUAUUGGGUUAAAAGGGUGCGUAGGCGGAAUGCCAAGUCAGCGGUAAAAUCGCGGGGCUCAACCUCGCUCCGCCGUUGAAACUGGCGUUCUUGAGUGGGCGAGAAGUAUGCGGAAUGCGUGGUGUAGCGGUGAAAUGCGUAGAUAUUCGGAGGAACACCGGUGGCGAAGGCGGCCAACUGGGCUUUAACUGACGCUGAGGCUCGAAAGUGUGGGGAGCAAACAGGAUUAGAUACCCGAGUAGUC
rnacentral:rRNA from 1 species